rnacentral:rRNA from 1 species
UACGUAGGGUGCGAGCGUUAAUCGGAAUUACUGGGCGUAAAGCGCGCGUAGGCGGUUUGUUAAGUGGGAUGUGAAAUCCCCGGGCUUAACCUGGAGGGGUCAUUCGAUACUGCCAUGACUAGAGUUCGGUAGGGGAGUGUGGAAUUCCUGGUGGAGCGGUGAAAUGCGCAGAGAUCAGGAGGAACACCCGUAGCGAAGGCGGCACUCUGGGCCGAUACUGACGCUGAGGAGCGAAAGCGUGGGGAGCGAACAGG